UGCCCAGCAACUCCUAUCCCUACCUUCUCGUAGUACUGGCCGGGGUACGAGUAACCUUGGGGAAGAUCGGGUAACCAACCCCCGGUGGGAACUUUGGUCGUAUGCUGACAGGAAAGG
rnacentral:ribozyme from 1 species